ensembl:lncRNA LOC102551322 uncharacterized LOC102551322
GACAGGAGCAGAGAUGGGCUUGGAGGUAGAGUUGGAUGGCUUCCCCUUAAGUACACAGAGUUAAAGGUAGUCAGGAGAGCUGGCCCCAGGGUCAGGAGAGCAGGAGAGCUGGCCCUGCACCUUGACGGCUACAGCACUCGGAAGAUCAGGCCUUGUUCCUCGCCUGGGCAGCACAGUAGACUUGGUCCUGAUGGUGAAAGCCAGGAACUGAAUGAUCAAAGAAGGGGUAGAUUGAUUUCUACAACGGAGGAGAGAGGAUAGGUCAGUGAAGACAGGAAGCAUCACUGGAUCCUUCGGCAUAGAGGAACCCUUGAGUGUGUGUCUUCUUUCUGUUUGCCUCCUCCUCUCUGCAUCUGUCUGAGGUUGAGCUGCCUAGAUUCCUGCAGAACCAAGGUCACGGGAAAGGUCUUGAGGCUCACAGGGUCAGAGCUGCACACCUCCUUGGAAGACACCAGGAUUUGCUCUCAUUCCACAGAUGACCCAAGAGCUCCUAGACUUGUCUAGAAGACACGUGGAGAACCAGAAUGACAAGGCCUGCUCCUGUGUAUGUGUCCUAAAGGCACUUCCUGUCUGGACUAGUGCAGGAGAUCAGAGUCUCAAAUUCAAGAGCAAGAUAAAUAACCUAUAGAGGGGGAACUUCUUGGAUGAGGUCAACAAGCACCCACAAUUCCUUCAAAGGACAAUGAUCAUGGUUUGGACGGUCAUGACUUUUUGUGGAACAGCAGAGCAGGGAAAGAGUAUGCUUUCUGCUAAAAUCGGCAACAUCAUCUCCUCUGGGAACUCUUAAGAAGCCUGUUACCUGACCUCUUCACAGCCGCACAAACCCAGUCGCCAAUAUUUGCAUACUUUCUCCAAGGACGCAGUUCCCCCGGGACAGUUCAUAAAUCCACAUCUUGGGAAAUGUUCAUAGGAUGCUACAAACUAAACAGGGCUUUGUUAAAUAAAGCUGGGGUGUACUGAUGGCA